rnacentral:snoRNA from 1 species
AAGAUUAUAGAUGAUGAUAAGAUGGUCCACUUUAUUCUGAAUGGUCUUCACUUUGACUAUAACCCCUUUGUGUCAUAUAUGCUUGGUCGUGUUGGAUUUCUCUCCUUGAGCGACUUGUAUUCUCAGUUACUCACAUAUGAUC